AGCAGUAGCCACGGUAAUACAGAGGGUGCAAGCGUUAAUCGGAAUUACUGGGCGUAAAGUGCGCGUAGGUGGUUUGUUAAGUUGGAUGUGAAAUCCCCGGGCUCAACCUGGGAACUGCAUCCAAAACUGGCAAGCUAGAGUAUGGUAGAGGGUGGUGGAAUUUCCUGUGUAGCGGUGAAAUGCGUAGAUAUAGGAAGGAACACCAGUGGCGAAGGCGACCACCUGGACUGAUACUGACACUGAGGUGCGAAAGCGUGGGGAGCAAACAGGAUUAGAUACCCCCGUAGUCCCUGUCUCUUAUAC
rnacentral:rRNA from 1 species